CCUACGGGAGGCAGCAGUGAGGAAUAUUGGUCAAUGGGCGCUAGCCUGAACCAGCCAAGUAGCGUGAAGGAUGACUGCCCUAUGGGUUGUAAACUUCUUUUAUAUGGGAAUAAAGUGCAGUAUGUAUACUGCUUUGCAUGUACCUUAUGAAUAAGGAUCGGCUAACUCCGUGCCAGCAGCCGCGGUAAUACGGAGGAUCCGAGCGUUAUCCGGAUUUAUUGGGUUUAAAGGGAGCGUAGGUGGGUUGUUAAGUCAGUUGUGAAAGUUUGCGGCUCAACCGUAAAAUUGCAGUUGAUACUGGCAGCCUUGAGUACAGUAGAGGUAGGCGGAAUUCGUGGUGUAGCGGUGAAAUGCUUAGAUAUCACGAAGAACUCCGAGUGCGAAGGCAGCCUGCUGGACUGUAACUGACGCUGAUGCUCGAAAGUGUGGGUAUCAAACAGGAUUAGAUACCCUUGUAGUC
rnacentral:rRNA from 1 species